GUGAGGAAUAUUGGUCAAUGGGCGGGAGCCUGAACCAGCCAAGUCGCGUGAAGGAAGAAGGAUCUAUGGUUCGUAAACUUCUUUUGCAGGGGAAUAAAGUGCAGGACGUGUCCUGUUUUGUAUGUACCCUGAGAAUAAGGAUCGGCUAACUCCGUGCCAGCAGCCGCGGUAAUACGGAGGAUCCGAGCGUUAUCCGGAUUUAUUGGGUUUAAAGGGUGCGUAGGUGGUUUGAUAAGUCAGCGGUGAAAGUUUGCAGCUUAACUGUAAAAAUGCCGUUGAAACUGUCGGGCUUGAGUGUAAAUGAGGUAGGCGGAAUGCGUGGUGUAGCGGUGAAAUGCAUAGAUAUCACGCAGAACUCCGAUUGCGAAGGCAGCUUACUAAGCUACAACUGACACUGAAGCACGAAAGCGUGGGGAUCAAACAGGAUUAGAAACCCGUGUAGUCC
rnacentral:rRNA from 1 species